UACGGAGGAGGCAAGCGUUAUCCGGAAUUAUUGGGCGUAAAGCGUCCGUAGGUGGCUAGUCAAGUCUGCGGUCAAAGACUGGGGCUUAACCCUGGAAAGGCCGUGGAAACUGACGAGCUAGAGUGCAGUAGGGGUAGAGGGAAUUCCCGGUGUAGCGGUGAAAUGCGUAGAGCUCGGGAAGAACAUCGGUGGCGAAAGCGCUCUACUGGACUGCAACUGACACUCAGGGAUGAAAGCUAGGGGAGCGAAUGGG
rnacentral:rRNA from 1 species